rnacentral:Y_RNA from 1 species
GCCUGGUCUGAGUACAGUGGUAUGCUAAUUGAUCACAACCAGUUACAGAUCGUUGUUCUUUCUCCACUCCCACUGCUUUACUUAACUAGCCUUUA